UUCGCCGCAUCGGCUGUGCAACGACUGCGAGCUGCCAGCUGCCAGUUGCCAGCAGCCAACAAAGUGAAGCAGUUCGGGCCAGUUACUGGUGUGCAUCCAGCCGGCUCAGCAAGCGGAGUCCGAGUCCGAGUCCGAGCACGAGUCCGAGUCUGAUUUUGAUUCUGAGUGCCAAAUGACGCGAUACGGCGCUAAGUGAUAGCCGGCAUUGUGGCAUGCCGCGUACCAUCCGCAUUGUUGUGUGUUUGUGAAGCGACAGCACUUGAUGAACUAAGCGCAAGUUCCGCCCACCAGCGCAUCGGCUAAUUGCAGUGCGGACCAUUAGAAAACUUUGUACGAAGUGCGCCUGUGUGUGUGUGGACAAGUGCGUCUGCCACAUGAAGCAAUUAGACGCAACACUAAAGUCGCCUAUAAAUGUCAACUAACAAAUAUUUUCGCGGAAGAGAAGCCGAAACAUAACAAAAUCUAACGAGCAGCAGAGGGCACACACCAGCAACAUAAAACUCUAGAGCUUAGCAACAUGUUGCCAAGCGGUGCCAAUGCGAUGGCAACAUUUACCAAUUGCUGCUAAGCAGCGAUGGCAACAACAACAUUCACGCAAUCACUUCGUGCGCGUUUAGUCGCAUUCGUAUCUCUGUCGGCUGCGCGUCUUCCUCUAUCGGCUGUGUGACGCAUUCGUUGUGACUUCGCUGCGGCAGCGACUAAGCAGAAUGACGUAUUGAAAACAGACAAAGCAAAGUAAA